GAUCCUGGCUCAGGACGAACGCUGGCGGCGCGCCUAACACAUGCAAGUCGAACGGAGCUAUGUUGAAAGCUUGCUGGAUAUAUAGCUUAGUGGCGGACGGGUGAGUAACACGUGAGCAACCUGCCUUUCAGAGUGGAAUAACGUUUGGAAACGAACGCUAAUACCGCAUAAUGUCAGAGGACGGCAUCAUUCUUUGACCAAAGAUUUAUCGCUGAAAGAUGGGCUCGCGGCCGA
rnacentral:rRNA from 1 species